rnacentral:misc_RNA from 1 species
GGACGGUGUCCGGAUGCCGUGGAAUGUGGUGCCAGGUACAAAGCAAGAAGCUAGCAACUGCAUAGUUCCAAUUUCCGCCUUGUACACGCCGAUCAAAGCCUUCCCGAACAUGCCGGUGCUACCUUACUCUCCGCUUCGAUGUCGUACUUGUCGCUCUAUUCUCAAUCCUUUCUCCAUUGUUGAUUUCGCUGCGAAGAUCUGGAUCUG